rnacentral:rRNA from 1 species
GAAGCAGUUAAGAAGAUUCUUCGGAUGAUUCUUAACUGACUGAGCGGCGGACGGGUGAGUAACGCGUGGGUGACCUGCCCCAUACCGGGGGAUAACAGCUGGAAACGGCUGCUAAUACCGCAUAAGCGCACAGAGCUGCAUGGCUCGGUGUGGAAAACUCCGGUGGUAUGGGAUGGGCCCGCGUCUGAUUAGGCAGUUGGCGGGGUAACGGCCCACCAAACCGACGAUCAGUAGCCGGCCUGAGAGGGCGACCGGCCACAUUGGGACUGAGACACGGCCCAAACUCCUACGGGAGGCAGCAGUGGGGAAUAUUGCACAAUGGGGGAAACCCUGAUGCAGCGACGCCGCGUGAGCGAAGAAGUAUUUCGGUAUGUAAAGCUCUAUCAGCAGGGAAGAUAAUGACGGUACCUGACUAAGAAGCCCCGGCUAACUACGUGCCAGCAGCCGCGGUAAUACGUAGGGGGCAAGCGUUAUCCGGAUUUACUGGGUGUAAAGGGAGCGUAGGCGGCAAGGCAAGUCUGAUGUGAAAACCCAGGGCUUAACCCUGGGACUGCAUUGGAAACUGUCUGGCUCGAGUGCCGGAGAGGUAAGCGGAAUUCCUAGUGUAGCGGUGAAAUGCGUAGAUAUUAGGAAGAACACCAGUGGCGAAGGCGGCUUACUGGACGGUAACUGACGUUGAGGCUCGAAAGCGUGGGGAGCAAACAGG